rnacentral:tRNA from 1 species
UAGUUUAGUGGUAGAGUGCAUGUUUAGCAUGCAUGGGGCUGUGGGUUCAAACCCAC